rnacentral:rRNA from 1 species
CGAACGCUGGCGGCGCGCCUAACACAUGCAAGUCGAACGAGCGAGAGGAGGUUUACUUUCUCAAGCGAGUGGCGAACGGGUGAGUAACGCGUGAGGAACCUGCCUCAAAGAGGGGGACAACAGUUGGAAACGACUGCUAAUACCGCAUAAGCCCACGACCCGGCAUCGGGUAGAGGGAAAAGGAGCAAUCCGCUUUGAGAUGGCCUCGCGUCCGAUUAGCUAGUUGGUGAGGUAAUGGCCCACCAAGGCGACGAUCGGUAGCCGGACUGAGAGGUUGAACGGCCACAUUGGGACUGAGACACGGCCCAGACUCCUACGGGAGGCAGCAGUGGGGAAUAUUGCACAAUGGGGGAAACCCUGAUGCAGCGACGCCGCGUGGAGGAAGAAGGUCUUCGGAUUGUAAACUCCCGUUGUUGAGGAAGAUAAUGACGGUACUCAACAAGGAAGUGACGGCUAACUACGUGCCAGCAGCCGCGGUAAAACGUAGGUCACAAGCGUUGUCCGGAAUUACUGGGUGUAAAGGGAGCGCAGGCGGGAAGACAAGUUGGAAGUGAAAUCCAUGGGCUCAACCCAUGAACUGCUUUCAAAACUGUUUUUCUUGAGUAGUGCAGAGGUAGGCGGAAUUCCCGGUGUAGCGGUGGAAUGCGUAGAUAUCGGGAGGAACACCAGUGGCGAAGGCGGCCU